CCUUUUCAGGGAGACCUAACUUCAGCACAGUAGUAGACAAAUUAUUGUCUAUUAUAUAACUGCAAAAAAUCAGCUGAAGUCAUCCCAGGUCGAGCGAAGUCAUUCGAGACAAAGGCUUUCAAACUACGAUGGGGUUCGAAUAAUAACUAGGGAAAAAACUCRGCAACAGAUGAAAGUCGAACUGCUGGGUAAAAUCCAGCCAGAACCUUGAAAACUGCAUAGAGUCAAAAGUCAGGUAAGUCUGUAUUAACAGACAAGGUCAAGCUAGAAAGGGCUGACGGUGGAUACCUAGGCACACAGAG
rnacentral:misc_RNA from 1 species